AUUGAACGCUGGCGGCAUGCCUUACACAUGCAAGUCGAACGGUAACAGGUCUUCGGAUGCUGACGAGUAGCGAACGGGUGAGUAAUACAUCGGAACGUGCCCGAGAGUGGGGGAUAACGAGGCGAAAGCUUUGCUAAUACCGCAUACGAUCUCAGGAUGAAAGCAGGGGACCGCAAGGCCUUGCGCUCACGGAGCGGCCGAUGGCAGAUUAGGUAGUUGGUGGGAUAAAAGCUUACCAAGCCGACGAUCUGUAGCUGGUCUGAGAGGACGACCAGCCACACUGGGACUGAGACACGGCCCAGACUCCUACGGGAGGUAGCAGUGGGGAAUUUUGGACAAUGGGCGCAAGCCUGAUCCAGCCAUGCCGCGUGCAGGAUGAAGGCCUUCGGGUUGUAAACUGCUUUUGUACGGAACGAAAAGACUCUGGUUAAUACCUGGGGUCCAUGACGGUACCGUAAGAAUAAGCACCGGCUAACUACGUGCCAGCCGCCGCAGUAAUAC
rnacentral:rRNA from 1 species